rnacentral:rRNA from 1 species
AGUGGGGAAUUUUGGACAAUGGGCGCAAGCCUGAUCCAGCCAUGCCGCGUGCAGGAUGAAGGCCUUCGGGUUGUAAACUGCUUUUGUACGGAACGAAAAGGUUUGGCCUAAUAAGCUGAGCUCAUGACGGUACCGUAAGAAUAAGCACCGGCUAACUACGUGCCAGCAGCCGCGGUAAUACGUAGGGUGCAAGCGUUAAUCGGAAUUACUGGGCGUAAAGCGUGCGCAGGCGGUUGUGUAAGUCAGAUGUGAAAUCCCCGGGCUCAACCUGGGAAUUGCAUUUGAGACUGCACGGCUAGAGUGUGUCAGAGGGGGGUAGAAUUCCGCGUGUAGCAGUGAAAUGCGUAGAUAUGCGGAGGAACACCGAUGGCGAAGGCAAUCCCCUGGGCCUGUACUGACGCUCAUGCACGAAAGCGUGGGGAGCAAACAGGAUUAGAUACCCUGGUAGUCCACGCCCUAAACGAUGUCAACUGGUUGUUGGGUCUUCACUGACUCAGUAACGAAGCUAACGCGUGAAGUUGACCGCCUGGGGAGUACGGCCGCAAGGUUG